GAUGAAGAACGUAGCGAGAUGCGAUAAGUAAUGUGAAUUGCAGAAUUCAGCGAAUCAUCGAAUCUUUGAACGCACCUUGCGCCUUUUGGUAUUCCGAAAGGCACACCUGUUUGAGCGUCAUGAAUACCUCAAUCUCCAUCUUUUCUUCGGAUUGAUGGGUGACUUGGAUGUUGAGCCCUGCUGGUAUGCUAUAUCAGCUGGCUUUAAACUUAUUAGCCGGCUCUGUACUGGAUCGGUUUGACUCGACGUGAUAAUAUUAUCGUUGAGGAUGCAUGUCUCAUGCAGCCGGAAAGUAUCAAAGCAGCUUCUAGCUUGCCUUUAGUGCACUUUUACAUUUUAGACCUCAGAUCAGGUGGGACUACCCGCUGAACUUAAGCAUAUCAAUAAGCGGAGGA
rnacentral:misc_RNA from 1 species